AGUGAACGCUGGCGGUAGGCCUAACACAUGCAAGUCGAACGGCAGCACAGUAAGAGCUUGCUCUUACGGGUAGCGAGUGGCGGACGGGUGAGGAAUACAUCGGAAUCUACUUUUUCGUGGGGGAUAACGUAGGGAAACUUACGCUAAUACCGCAUACGACCUACGGGUGAAAGCAGGGGAUCUUCGGACCUUGCGCGAUUGAAUGAGCCGAUGUCGGAUUAGCUAGUUGGCGGGGUAAAGGCCCACCAAGGCGACGAUCCGUAGCUGGUCUGAGAGGAUGGUCAGCCACACUGGAACUGAGACACGGUCCAGACUCCUACGGGAGGCAGCAGUGGGGAAUAUUGGACAAUGGGCGCAAGCCUGAUCCAGCCAUACCGCGUGGGUGAAGAAGGCCUUCGGGUUGUAAAGCCCUUUUGUUGGGAAAGAAAAGCAGCAGGUUAAUACCCCGCUGUUCUGACGGUACCCAAAGAAUAAGCACCGGCUAACUUCGUG
rnacentral:rRNA from 1 species